rfam:Otolemur garnettii contig053011, whole genome shotgun sequence.
AGAUGUCAGGGUGAUAAUGGCUGUGGCAUCUGUCACCUCAUGAAUUGCCAGUGUUGAUUUGGCUGAUCUGGCUGGCCAAGGGGUGUCCCCUUCCUCCCUCACUGCUCCAUGUGUGCCCCCACCAAGCUGUGUACUUGGUCAAAGAGUAUAACCAUCCCCGAUUGAGGAGGACCAUAUUUCGGUCAAGGGUAUACUGGUACCUGCACUCCCCUGCAAAACAUCCAAACAGGCUGUCAAGAACCAACUCUGAAGACUAACUUAGAACCAUCUCUAUUCUGGGUACCAUGUUAGAUAAUAAGGAUACUAGGAGUGAAUGAGACUUCCUAGUCCCUCCUUAAAAUGUUAUUCUGUCUGAAAAG